ACCUAAUGAUGUGGGCAUUUACAAUGUAGGCCCUUGAAACACUCCCAGGUCUCAAAGAAAAGUACCCAUCCAUUUGUGUGAAACUUGUGGUUUUCCUUUGCAGCU